UAAGACUAUCUUUUGUUUUUCCUCUCUUUUACUUUGAUGAUUUUUAUGUUAUGAAGCUUUUCAUGUAUAAAGCUCAAUUUUUCCAUGACCACGGAAGUAAACAUCCUGAUGCAUUCUUGUCAUGUGAAUGUUGAGAGCGUGUUCAUUUUUGAAAUCUCCUUUCUGACAGACCUAUUCCACAGGAUCAGCUGAGAUGUUAUUUCACUGGAUUAUUUAAUGGAUAGGCUUAUUGGGCAUAUAUUUGGAUAUUUCUGUCAUCAACAUGGAAUGUAUGACUUCAUCUUUUAUACAGUCGGGUUCGGGGUUUCGGGCGGCCAUGACGAAUUUCGGCAAGAUUUUUACCCCAGUGAAAAAGGCUUGUAAUCCACAGUUCCUCAACCUGGAAGAUAUGUUUUGUUCCUAACCAUCUAUAAUCCAUUCUCUAUGAAGUGAAGCCUGGCUGCUCUUCCUUUGGAAAUACACAGUUAGUCAAUCAACAUAGAAACACACAAACUUGAAGGAUAUUCUAGUGAGGGCUUAUGGAAAUGAUCUAUGUCUACUCUCAGAAUGGUGAAAGACUAUCAGAUUAUGCAAAGACUAACAGGAUAUCCUCUCUUGGAACACUGAAA